rnacentral:misc_RNA from 1 species
AAGUCGUAACAAGGUUUCCGUAGGUGAACCUGCGGAAGAAUCAUUACAAAUUUUGGCGAAAUUCCUCGCCAUUUUUUUUCGUAUUUAAAACAUCCCGCUCUUGUAAAAAAAAAUUUUUUUUAAUUGUAAUAUAAAAAAAAGAUCACUUUCAACAACGGAUCUCUUGGCUCUC